UACAUGGGGUGCAAACGUUGCUCGGAAUUAUUGGGCGUAAAGCGCGCGUAGGCGGUUACUUAAGUCGGAUGUGAAAGCCCUCGGCUUAACUGAGGAAGUGCACCCGAAACUGAGUAGCUAGAGUACGAAAGAGGGUCGCGGAAUUCCCGGUGUAGAGGUGAAAUUCGUAGAUAUCGGGAGGAACACCAGCGGCGAAGGCGGCGACCUGGGUGGAUACUGACGCUGAGGUGCGAAAGCGUGGGGAGCAAACAGG
rnacentral:rRNA from 1 species